rnacentral:rRNA from 1 species
UACGGAGGGGGCUAGCGUUGUUCGGAAUUACUGGGCGUAAAGCGCGCGUAGGCGGACCUGCAAGUCGGGGGUGAAAGCCCGAGGCUCAACCUCGGAACUGCCUUCGAUACUGCGGGUCUCGAGUCCGGGAGAGGUGAGUGGAAUUCCUAGUGUAGAGGUGAAAUUCGUAGAUAUUAGGAAGAACACCAGUGGCGAAGGCGGCUCACUGGGACGGUAUUGACGCUGAGACGCGAAAGCGUGGGGAGCAAACAGG